rnacentral:lncRNA from 1 species
UUUAAAAUAGUGCAAAAUGGAGCAACUGAACUUAAAUAAGUUAUUAUUAACUUAUCAUAGCUAAUCUUUAUUCACAUCACAUGGAUGGCAUGGCUACCAAGCCCUAUUAUACAACAGCAACAGAUAUACUUGGUGUCUUUUAUUUUCAUCACACAUGAUACAUGUACUUUUAUUUCAACAUUGAUCGGUAGUGGUAAUCUUACAUAUUAAGUAAUUCGAGGUGCUCGUACAACCUUGCCCUGGGUAUUAACCCAGACCCAAACCCUGUCGCACCUGAAGUCCUCGGUCACAGGUGUUCCUUCCAGCAAAACUAUUGCAUUUACUAGUGGAUUCUCUUUUUCUAUCUUCGCUGCUGCAACCUCACCGUUGUAUCCCACCAGCUCAGGCCAUUCGCUUUUACCUUAACACAACAAUUUCAUAAAUAUUCAUUCAUUAGACAAUUCUAUAAAAGUUAUUACUUUGGAGAAAUUAGAUACUGACCUUGACAAAAUUCUGCCAUUAUGCUUGUGUAGUGCUUCAAUGGUUGCGUUGCUAUUCCAACGUAUGGAGUAUAAAUAGGCUGAUAUUAGUCGGCCAGUGUUGAUUUCACAUUACAUUUUGUCGAUUGUUUUGUUUGAUUGUUGACAUUGAUACAAAUUUUUUUUGUCAAACAUAUCACAUUGGUUCUUAGAAUGAUUUUUCUGGGUCAGACUAAUCUAUCUACAGUCCAAACAUAUGGCGUUGAUUUUGUUGUGCAUAUCAGGAUAUGUACAGUAUGUUUGAUCAUUGAUGAAAGAGUAGUACAAAUACAUCAUGUAUAUUGUUUUAUUAGAUUUCAAAUGCAAACACAUUGUCUCUGUGUAAUCGGAUGUAUAGGAUUUCAGUCUAACCAAUUCGAGGGACCUGCGCUACCUUCCAAUUGGAAUCGACCCAAACCCAGACCCUGUUGCACUUAAAGUCCAUAGGUACUAUUUCCAUCCCUUUCAUUACCACUUCUGCGUGGACCGAAUUAUUCUCUCUCUCAAUCCUAACUGCUGCUUCAUGCCCAUCAACCCCAACCAGCUCCGGCCAAAUCUGUUUUCCUGUACAUGGGAAUUCUCUCAUUAUUUAUAGAUUACAACAUGCAAAAAUAUGAUCAUUUGAACAGUUCUAUAUUAAUCGUUUUGGUUUAAUAACAACCGACUUACAGGAACGACUUGCACUGACUUACCUUUGCAGUCUAUAUUAAUCAUUUUGGUUCUGUGUGUUAUUCAAUGGUCACAAAGAUUAAUUAGCAAGAGUAUAAAUAGGAUUAAGGAUUAGUAUAGAUGACAUCAGAUGUGGUCGAUUGUUUCACAUUUUCAUACAUACAUACGAAAGUCACAACAAGUAUGUCUGUAUGUGAAUGCUUGUCAUUGCAUCCAAAUUGGGUACGUCUUCUCUACAUGCCUAACAACAGGUUGAUUACUUGAUUUUGUCAUGGUUAAUUGAUCCCUGACAUUUACUACUUUUGGUUGUGCACUUCUCUUCAACACGACAUGGGUUAUCUGUCCGUGCAUGAGAGCUUUUCCAUUGUUGAAAGAUUAUGUAAAAUGGAUGUUGGUUGGAGGUCAAUAUCUAACCAGAUACUUGAGUCCGCUAGAACAUUUUGACUAACAUUUCCUCGAACAAUUUGGCUGCUUGAUUCCAUUGACCUGACUCACAUAGGCCAUGAAUCAAACAAUUAUAAGUGAUGAUAUUCGGGCGAAUUCUUCGAGUAUGCAUCUCUAGGAGAAGUUUUACAGCCUCUGUCACCAUUCUAGCUUUGCAAAGAUUGUCGAUGAUCGAGCAUAAAUAGUUACAUCGGAUUUAAUCCCUUUCUUUUUCAUUCUUCCUAGCAAAUCAGUGAGCCAUUUAUUCAAUACAUUUUAACUCAGUACAUUACGGUGCGAGCAGCAUUUUCGUCCACACAAUGUGACUAGGACAACUUGGUAACUGGUUAUGCAAUUCUUAUUGUUUCUUUUAGUUUUUCAGUCAAACAUACAGGUGGCAGCUGUAUGGAUGACAAAAUUGCUAUAUGGAUGACAAAAUUCAAGAAACAAUAAGAGCAAAUUUUUGUUGACUUUAGACUAACUGGUAGCAAGUUUCCACUUGAGUCCACGUGGAAGAUUGUGUGGUGUAUAAGCAAAUGUACCGUAAUACACCAUACCGAAAAUGUACCAUACCAAAUAACAGCUACAAUCAAUGGGUAGCCAUUACUCACUAUGUCACCAAACAACUUAACCCCUUCCUGCAUCAAAUAAGCCCUUCAUGAGGGUAUUUAAGGUAAAAACAUCUGGUUCGUAACCAAAUUUUAGAAUUAUUGCAACGACUGCAAAACCCAAGUCCACACUGUUCAAUUGGCAAUAAGAUUUGAGCAAGAUGUUUAGCGUACAGACGUCGCUUUGAGUUGAGAAUUGAGCACCAUCUGUUUGUAUAAAUUCAAAGUGAUAAUGUAAUGUUUCAUUUUGGAAAUUGCCCCUAACAAAUGAUUGAAUGGAUAAAUAGACGGAGUGGAUCUUCUUUGAAGCAUUUGAUCAAACAGUUUGCGUGCUUCAUCAAGAUCCUGACCUACAUCGAUCUCUUCCGAAACAUUCUUCAAUCUUAUUAUUAGCAGAGUAAAUUUCAGUUUAGUUCGAGGGACAAACAGAGGUGGACCUACACAAAUUGCGAGCAACAGCAACAGUUCCAAGCCCUAGCAGGUAUCAUCUUUAUUUGAGCGAAUUUGAGAUUGCCCAUUGAUUUUAAUUGCCAAUUUGCGAUUGCCCAUUGGUUUCAACUAGGGCUGGGGAAAACUGAAGAACCGAACCAAACGCAACCGAACACUUUUGAAGGUGUUUAAGUGUUUGAUUGGUGUUUGAAAUUUUACAAAACACUUUAAAGGGUGUUCAUGUUUAGUUUAGCACUUUAGCCCAAGUUAAUUCAGCAGUCUUUAGUUAAGCCCAAGUUCAUUCAGCCCAUGUUAAAAGGUGUUCGGUUCGGUUUUGAUUUGGUUAACCGAACGGAACUACAUGUUCGGUUCGGUUUCGAUUUUUACAUAUUUUGAUCGGUUCGGUUUUGGGAAUCAAUAUGUUCGGUUUCGGUUGUGUUUAUUCCAAAACACCUGUUAGGCUGUUUAGCUUCAGUUUUGGUCAAAAUCGAACCAAACCGUGCCCAACCCUACUUUUAACUUUCAGGUGGUCAAACCACUAUUGACUCGGUCAAGUCUUUUUCUAAGUAGUUGGCAGUUAGAUACCACACUGGCAAGUCAAUUACACAUAAUCGUACAACAAGUUUAACAUCUGAUUGUUUUAAGAUUAAAAAAUUGUUGAAUCGAGAAAAAUCUAAGGGUCACAAUCAUUUGACUAUUAGACUUUGUCUUCCCCAAAUUUCAAGCUUAAAGCAAAAUCCUAAAUCCUCAAAUCUAUACACAAUAUUUGAAGGCGGCCACCAAAGAUGAAGGUAAAUGUUCUCUAGCCUAGGUUCUUGUUUUCUUCUUCAUUUCUUCUAAUGUUCUAAGUUCGAACUCUUCAUAAUUGAUAUUGACAGAUUAAUUCAUUGUAACUUUUCAUUUUCUCCUACUCCAACCUUUAGAGAGUUUUUUCACAGGUUUUUUCAUCUUGUUGAUUUUUUCCAUAGAUUUGCAAAAGAAAUGGUGGGUUAAAGAAGAUGAAUGAAAUUGGGUAUGUAGGGAAACCUAAACUUUGUUUUCUAACAAAAAAUGUUUUGUCUACAAAUGAGUUUAUAUCUAACGGUUAGAUCGAACUAAUAUCGUACAGUCAACAAUUAAUCACAAGUGUUCAAUUCUCUCUCUAACGUGUUAAUCCAACGUGGCUCAAGAAGGGUAUUCUUAGAAUAUUCAAUAAAUGACCGGGUCAAUGGUGGUCUGACCACCUGAAAAUUGAAAGUAGUGGGUAGUCUUAAAUUUUGUAAAAAUCAAUGGGUUCACAAGUGUUCAAUUCUCUCUCUAACGUGUUAAUCCAAUGUGGCUCAAGAAGGGUAUUCUUAGAAUAUUCAAUAAAUGACCGGGUCAAUGGUGGUUUGACCACCUGAAAAUUGAAAGUAGUGGGUAGUCUUAAAUUUUGUAAAAAUCAAUGGGUAAUCUCAAAUUGACAAUUAAAACCAGUGGACAACCUCAAAUUCGCGAUUUUUAUUGUUUUUUUAAGACAGUGAGAAAUGAAGCAACUCAAAUACUGAAAUACAGUAAAAGUCAUUAACUUAUCAUAGAUAAUCUUUAUUCACAUGGAUGGCAUGGGCGCAUAGCUACCAAGCCUUAUUAUACAACAGCAACAGAUAUACUUGUUGUCUUUUAUUUUAAUCAUACAUGAGGAUCAGUAGUGGUAAUCUCACAUAUAUUAAGUAAUUCGAGGUGGUCGAACAACCUUGCCCUGGGUAUUAACCCAAACCCAAACCCUGUCGCACCUGAAGUCCUUGGUCACAGGUGUUCCUUCCAGCAAAACUAUUGCAUUUACUAGUGGAUUCUCUUUUUCUAUCUUCGCUGCUGCAACCUCACCGUUGUAUCCCACCAGCUCAGGCCAUUCGCUUUUACCUUAACACAACAAUUUCAUAAAUAUUCAUUCAUUAGACACAAUUCUAUAAAAGUUAUUACUUAGGAGAAAUUAGAUACUGACCUUGACAAAAUUCUGCCAUUAUGCUUGUGUAGUGCUUCAAUGGU